rnacentral:lncRNA from 10 species
CAAACAAAACUGAAGUCAGAGAGAUGAUGAAAGGCGUGCAAGAACGGGAGAAAGGAAGAAAGGAAAGAAAGGAGGAUGGCUGAGACGGGGGGAAGGAGGGAGCAAGGAAGGAGAAAGGGAAAAUAAUUCCAAACAGGUUUCAAGAUUGAGCUGACCCUGCCAUCUAAAUAUAGCAUGGCAACAUGGACAUAUUGAAGAUAAAUGAUUUACUGACUGGCUUAGAGGAAAUCAGAUAAAUUAUCUUCUACUGACUCCUGACUAGCCAACCUCAGAAACAACUCUCUUUUGAGAAAGGUUUUGUGAUAAGAGAUACAUUAGCUAUUUUUUGUUUCACCUGGUUACAGAGUUCUCAAGCUGCCUUAAAUAUCAUAGAAGAAUUUCACGUUGAAGUUGCUGAUUUUAUUCAGCCUCUUUGAACAUGUCAACAUGGAUAUUGUCCUUGAACACACAGCUCCACAUGCCCAUGGGCUGAAGAAGAUGCUGAGAAAUGGAUUCUAUAUGAUAUGCAUCUGCGUAGGAAAAACAUCACUAUAAUAAGCUGGCCUGACUCACUGAGGAGGACAGCUCCCUUCAAAGAAGGCCUUCAGGUGACUUGCAGGAAGCCCCUGGAGAAAAUGGAAUGAAAGAGGACAAGGCUUAUAUGGAGCUAAGUGAAAUAUGAGAAUAACUUACAAGUCCUGGCUAGAUAAGGUUUUUUAACUAUUACAUAUAAACAUUAUUAUUACUAAUUAUAACUAUUAAUAACAGUGAUUUCAGCGAUUUCAUUGUAUCACCCAUGAUUUAAUGCGUAUGCCCUGAGCGCCAGAUACAGUGCAGAGUGACAUAUUUCAAUUAUCCUGCAACAACCUCAUGAGAAAGAUGCUAUUAACAUCAUCAUUUGUUUGGAUGAGAAAAUUGAAGCUUAGGAAAUUAGUAACUGUGCGAGGCAAUAUGACUAGUAAUUGGUGGAGCCAGAAUUUAAGUCCAGGUUUGUUUUAUGCCAAAGCUCAUGAUCUUAACAUUACACAAAAGCCUGCUAAUUCCUUCAUCUACCAUCCCACAAUAAUGAGGUAUACUUGAACCUGAGCCACAUAAACUCAUUUCUUUGCUAAAGGAGUAUCCUAUCCUAUGACAGAAAAGAAAAAAAAAUCAGCAGCUAGUUAUUGGUAAGAUUUGGGAGAAUAUCAAAAUUUCACUGGCCUAACAAUCUAUCCUACCUGUUUUCUAUAGGCCUGAGAUCCUUUUGAGUUACCACAAAAGACUGUGUUCAAAUUUCAACUUGUAAUGUGUAAGAGGAUUCAGGGGCAGUGAGAGAAGAGAAACAACUCACUUCACCAUCAACAGAGCUAAACUGCUUCUUAGGACUAUUUCCUGACAUCACAUAGUAUCUGACAAAUUUGAAAUAAGACAAAACAUUAAGGAGAAAGGGAAAGUGGAAAAAAAUCCUCCAUUAAAUAAAAUGUAAAUGUGAGAAGGGUAAGUUUGUUGCUUCUUUAAUUUCCCAGAAAGCCAAGACGUCGCUCAUUUGGUUAAGGUAAAAUCUCCCCACCUCUACAUUUUAGUUACUCUUAAAGUUGGGGCAUACUAUUUAUACAAUAUACAAAUUUCUCUCUAAUAAAAGCAAUAAAAACAGUAAUGUCUGUUAAGCAUUUUGACGUAUGUUAUCCUGUUUUGCUCUUACAAAAACAUGUGAGAGGGUAUUUUCAUCUCCAUUCUCAGGAUGAGGACAUUAAGGCUAAAACAGCAAAUGUUUCACCUAAUGUCAUACAACUCAAAAUUAGCAGAGCGAGUUCCAGACUAUAUCUUCAGCUAUAAAUAUUCUUUAUGUUGUAAGGUUUUAUGGAAACUGAGACAGAUAGAAAGAAGUCAAUUAUGAAGGCAAGAUGGAGAAAGAAGAAAGAUAUGAACUUUGACUCCUUUCAGCUGGGACAUUUUUCCUGCUCAUACCCAGAUCUUGGAAUUUGAAAUGAAAAAGAUUGUGUGUACAUAAUUGUGGCAAUUUCAAAACAUGGACACACAUUCCUCAAUAUUCCUUCCAUUAAGAG